CCUACGGGUGGCAGCAGUGGGGAAUAUUGCACAAUGGGCGCAAGCCUGAUGCAGCCAUGCCGCGUGUAUGAAGAAGGCCUUCGGGUUGUAAAGUACUUUCAGCGAGGAGGAGGGCAUUAAGGUUAAUAACCUCACCGAUUGACGUUACCCGCAGAAGAAGCACCGGCUAACUCCGUGCCAGCAGCCGCGGUAAUACGGAGGGUGCAAGCGUUAAUCGGAAUUACUGGGCGUAAAGCGCACGCAGGCGGUCUGUCAAGUCGGAUGUGAAAUCCCCGGGCUCAACCUGGGAACUGCAUUCGAAACUGGCAGGCUAGAGUCUUGUAGAGGGGGGUAGAAUACCAGGUGUAGCGGUGAAAUGCGUAGAGAUCUGGAGGAAUACCGGUGGCGAAGGCGGCCCCCUGGACAAAGACUGACGCUCAGGUGCGAAAGCGUGGGGAGCAAACAGGAUUAGAUACCCCGGUAGUC
rnacentral:rRNA from 1 species